UCCCACCUGGCUGACUGCAUUCUCCACUGUUCCUGCUGUGUACAUCCCAGGGUCUAUGUCAAGACUUCAGUGAUACCUGUCCUAAGACCCUCAACUCCCUGCUCACUCUGUAACAGCAACCAUUUGGAAUGAACAUGGGUGCUGACAAGCCUAUUUCCCUGACAAGUAGAUUCAUUAACCUGAGGUUCAAUUACUUUUUCAAGAUGGAGUCUGGCUCUGCCCUCCAGGCUGGAGUG